rnacentral:rRNA from 1 species
ACCUGCCCUUAACUCUGGGAUAAGCCUUGGAAACGGGGUCUAAUACUGGAUAUUGACUUUUCCUCGCAUGGGGUUUGGUUGAAAGAUUUAUUGGUUUUGGAUGGACUCGCGGCCUAUCAGCUUGUUGGUGAGGUAAUGGCUCACCAAGGCGACGACGGGUAGCCGGCCUGAGAGGGUGACCGGCCACACUGGGACUGAGACACGGCCCAGACUCCUACGGGAGGCAGCAGUGGGGAAUAUUGCACAAUGGGCGAAAGCCUGAUGCAGCGACGCCGCGUGAGGGAUGACGGCCUUCGGGUUGUAAACCUCUUUCAGUAGGGAACAAGGCCAGCAUUUUUGUUGGUUGAGGGUACUUGCAGAAGAAGCGCCGGCUAACUACGUGCCAGCAGCCGCGGUAAUACGUAGGGCGCAAGCGUUAUCCGGAAUUAUUGGGCGUAAAGAGCUCGUAGGCGGUUUGUCGCGUCUGCCGUGAAAGUCCGGGGCUCAACCCCGGAUCUGCGGUGGGUACGGGCAGACUAGAGUGAUGUAGGGGAGACUGGAAUUCCUGGUGUAGCGGUGAAAUGCGCAGAUAUCAGGAGGAACACCGAUGGCGAAGGCAGGUCUCUGGGCAUUAACUGACGCUGAGGAGCGAAAGCAUGGGGAGCGAACAGGAUUAGAUACCCUGGUAGUCCAUGCCGUAAACGUUGGGCACUAGGUGUGGGGGACAUUCCACGUUUUCCGCGCCGUAGCUAACGCAUUAAGUGCCCCGCCUGGGGAGUACGGCCGCAAGGCUAAAACUCAAAGGAAUUGACGGGGGCCCGCACAAGCGGCGGAGCAUGCGGAUUAAUUCGAUGCAACGCGAAGAACCUUACCAAGGCUUGACAUGAACCGGAAAGACCUGGAAACAGGUGCCCCGCUUGCGGUCGGUUUACAGGUGGUGCAUGGUUGUCGUCAGCUCGUGUCGUGAGAUGUUGGGUUAAGUCCCGCAACGAGCGCAACCCUCGUUCUAUGUUGCCAGCACGUAGUGGUGGGGACUCAUAGGAGACUGCCGGGGUCAACUCCGGAGGAAGGUGAGGACGACGUCAAAUCAUCAUGCCCCUUAUGUCUUGGGCUUCACGCAUGCUACAAUGGCCGGUACAAUGGGUUGCGAUACUGUGAGGUGGAGCUAAUCCCAAAAAGCCGGUCUCAGUUCGGAUUGGGGUCUGCACUCGACCCCUGAAGGUCGCAAUCGCAGAUCAGCAACGCUGCGGUGAAUACGUUCCCGGGCCUUGUACACAC